rnacentral:lncRNA from 10 species
CUCACCCAGCCCUGUCGCGAUCACCGAUUGUCAGCCGGGCAGUGCCGCCGCGCCUGGGGCUUCAGAGGAGAGGAGUGGGGGCCCUGGUCCCCGGACCCGCACAGCAGGGACCCUGCGCCCCUCCCCAGGAUGGGGGGAUGGGCAGAGUGUCCCCCUCCCACAGGGCCAGUGCCAGCAUCUCCUGCUGACCUGGCCUGUAGGCCAUGAGCUGGGGGUCCUGGGUGAGGCCAUGGUCGUGGCAGGCCACGCUGGGGGAGGGGAGUCAGGCUCCAUCAGCCAGCACAGUCCCUGAACAGCCCUACAGCAGAGGGCCUGUGGUCACCACCCACCUCCCCUGCACCUUCAUGCCCCUUUCCCUCCCCAUACACAAAUUUGAGUGUUCAGGUCUGCAACAGGGACUCUUCCCCAGAUUGGGAACCCCCAGGGUCUGGUCUGAGUCAUUCUGGGUGCCCAGAUGGGUCCUGGGACCCUGUGGGUACAAAUAGGCUUGUGGCUUCUCAAAAGGGUUGGCCCCACCCUCCAGGAAAGCAAGACUGGACAGGAGGCUGGUCUAGGCACCUGGGUGAAACCCAGCCGAGCUCAGGGUUAAACAAUGCUGUGAGGCCCCUGGGGUGGGGCGGGGGCUGACAACCAGGUGGGCUGGGGGGGCUGGGGAAAGCCUGCUGGUGUCCUCUCUGGCUUGAGCUCAGCCAUCUUUGGAGGAAAAAAGAAGAGCCCAAUUCUGGCACCAGGGUGGCACUGGCAGCCCCCAUCAGGGAUGGAGUUUCUCAGGAGCCAUGGAUGCUGAGUGGAACUCCAGAGUCCUGGCCCAGGGUGCAGCAGGCAGGGCAGGAGGGCGGGCAGGGGGGCCAGGAGCUGGGGGAGUCACUGGCUGACCAGUGCCAUUCUCCUGGAAGGGACACACCCCACCCAGAGGUGGAUGAGGCUCUCUGGGAGGGGCCCCUUGGGGAGCCAGGCUGGGAGCUGCCUCCCCAUCACAGCAGGUCAGACAAAGCCUGAGAUGCAGGGACACAUGCGUCAGGCUACUGUUUGAGGGAAAUGGAAGGAACUGAGGCUGGGAAAGCCAGGAGGCCAGGCCCCUGAGGCUUCUCCUGUGCCUGCAGGUGUCCCCAGCUUGACCCAAGGGCACUCUGAGACCCUGGGCUCCAGCCACUGCUGUUGGGUGCAGCCAGGUUCUCUUGCCCAUUACUGCAGGGUGGGGACCCCCUCCUGCUGAGGUGCCCAUCGUUUGAGGUCAACCGGGAGUCCACCUCACCCCAUCCCAGGCCUCCCAGGCCUCCAAGCCCAGAGGAAGAAGGCACUGUGUGGCCAAGGAAGGGAGCCCCGGAGCAGGAGCCAGGCCAGGUGUCUGGGUGACCAGUGGGUCUGGGGGAGCUGGAAGCACAUGGCAGCUUCCCUGCUACCACCGUUGCUGAGCCUCAGCCUGUCCAAGCAUUCUUUUUGCUCUUUGAAAGGGGGCUGUAGAGGCAUUGGGGGAGUUCCGUCACUACGCUCUGUGCCCCCACCUCCUCACAGGCAGCACCGGUGAUCUCUUGGCCCUGGCUGCUGCUCCCAGAGCUGACUCGGGUGAUUCUAAGAAUGGAAGUGCCAGAGAGGCUCAGGCAUUGGGAGGAGAUGGGCGCAGCUGUGUCAUAUGGCUCAGGAAGCCCUGGGAGUAUCUUUUGUCACUUGGGGACCAGAGAAAGGGGGUGGCAGGUACGGCCCCUUCCUUGAGGCUCCCCCAGGGAAUCCACAGGCCCUGACUGGGCCCCAGUGGGUGGCAGGGCAGGUGGGUUGAACGCUGAGAGUGAGAUUCUUGCCCUCCUGACCUGGGCCUCCCCAGAGGCUGUGCCUUACCAAUGGGGAAACUGAGGCAGGCAGUCUGAGAGCCACACACUCUGUUAGACACCUCCUAGCCUGAGGCCUAGGCCCAGGGCUGUCUGUCUUCCUGGAGAUGCCCUGGGCCUGAGAUGCCAGCCUGUCUGGGUGGGUGCUGGGCUUCGAGGUGUGGACCCUCAGUUGGAAACUGGGUGGGACUCAGCCUAGAGGCUUCCUGCAGGUCAGGGCCAUGGAAGGCUGGGGCCAGUGAGGAGGCUUUCUGGCAGCAAGGACUGAGGGAUGCACUGGUAGAGCUGGGGGGCCUGGAGCUGCCCCCUUUCCCUGGGAUGAAAGGCUCUCCUGUUCCCAGCUGUGGGCCUGCCCCUCCUCCCCAGGUGCCAGUGGUCCAGGCCCCACAACAGGACCAGGGCCUGGACAGGAAGUGGAGGAGGUCUCUCAGCCAGGAGAG